rnacentral:lncRNA from 1 species
CAUACACAACACAAACAUACAUAACAUACACAACACACACACAAUACACAUACAUACACACACGAAAAUAACACAAACAAUACACAAACAACACAUAACACACUAUACAUACAUAAUACACAUACACAACACAUAAUAUACAACACACAUGAAAAUAACACAAACAACACACAAUACACAUAUACACACAACACAAUACACACAAAAACAAUACAAUAACAUAAACAACACAAACAUAAUACACAUACAAACAACACACACUACACACACAC